rnacentral:rRNA from 1 species
GCAGUAGCCGCGGGAAUACAGAGGGUGCGAGCGUUAAUCGGAUUUACUGGGCGUAAAGCGUGCGUAGGCGGCUUCUUAAGUCGGAUGUGAAAUCCCUGAGCUUAACUUAGGAAUUGCAUUCGAUACUGGGAAGCUAGAGUAUGGGAGAGGAUGGUAGAAUUCCAGGUGUAGCGGUGAAAUGCGUAGAGAUCUGUAGGAAUACCGAUGGCGAAGGCAGCCAUCUGGCCUAAUACUGACGCUGAGGUACGAAAGCAUGGGGAGCAAACAGGAUUAGAGACCCGGGUAGCCCUGUCUCUUAUACA